rnacentral:tRNA from 1 species
GGAGGGUUGGCAGAGUGGCUAAUGCAGCGGCUUGCUAAGCCGUGACGGAUAAAACCGUCCGUGGGUUCGAAUCCCACACCCUCCGCCA